AAUAUCAAAGAUUCCUACGGAAGCUUAUCAUCAGCCACCAUUCUUCUUUUCCUUCUCAAACCAGCCAUGCAACACCAAGAGAAGGAGACCAAAAUUCCUUCUUCAUUCACCUCUCAAACUUGCACCAAAUCAUUUGAAAUUUCUACCACAAACUCACAACAACUUGGAGAUUCAUCUAGGCAAGGAGAGGAGCUUCAUUUCCACGAUUUUCUUGAGACUCAAAGUGACCAAAAAUUUCUGAUCUAGUCAUCCAAGAAGGCGCUCAAGGGGACCUUCAAGAGGAACUCGAAGUGGACGCCUAGACACUUGUUUGAGUAUUUACUCUCUUGUUGCAAUAGGACUGGGCUCGGUCGGGUAGGUUGGAA